rnacentral:lncRNA from 1 species
AUGGCUUUUUCACCACACCAGCUCCUCUGUUCCAGCCCAUGCCACUGGCAGCCCAGUGCUCUCCCCCUCUCUCUGCAACCCUGGCAUAUGCAUGGCUCGUUAGCAGCAGCCUGGCAAUCAGGGGAGCCUGCUAUGGCAGCAGCUGCUUUUCCAGAGCUGUCCCAUGUGCAGUGCAGUGUGGGGGCUGUUUGCCAAGGUGAGGCGCUCCCUGCAGCUGGCUGGGGUGGGGACCGGGUAAGAAGGGGUUGGCUUUCACCAAAUAGGACCAGCUGGAGCAAACUUUGCUUCCUUGCAGUGCUUCCCAUCUUGUCCUCCUCCCUGCCCAGCCAGUCACCCUGCUCCCUGAUGUGUACGUGGCCGAGUACCGGGGAGCAGAUGGAAGAAGAGCCAUCUGGCUUCAACCAGGCUUGUUCUCAGGUUGGAGCUGGGGGAGCUGCUGGAACAAAGGAUGGCAUCGCCUGGGAGUGCCUGGGAGUUUGUGUGACUGUGCCGGUGUUGCUACAACUUGAAGGUUUAUCAUCGUGCAGCUUACCGGUGCUGGCGUGAAAUCGUACCGCUUUGAUGCACUUGCAGCUGAUUUCUAGAUCAGUGGCUGAUCCUGUGAAAACGUACGGUCCCCUGACAGAGGUCAGGUAAGUAUAUUUUGUGGUGUGUUUCUGGGGUGGGUUGUGGUGAGGUGUUGCAUUGUUAAGUUGUGCGCUGGAUGCAUCCCUCCCCAGAGGUGUUUCUGUGGGGUGCUCUGAGGCAUUCACUCUGAGCGUCACCAUGGGGACAAGCAGGGGGAAGGAACACAAUUUGUAUUUCUGUGAGUGUUGCGUGAUUGUACUCUCGCAGUGUGACAGUGAAGGUGCAUGAAGAACCACAUGCCUCUGUCCUGUGUGUUUCUGUAUGACAAUAAUGCACACACAUGCACUCACACAUACAGGCACACACCCUCCAGGCUCCAGUGCGUGUAGGAGAGUGUGUGUGUGUGUGUGUGUGAAUGCUAUUUAAAUAAAAAAGAAAGGAAGUGAAUCA